rnacentral:rRNA from 1 species
UACGUAGGGGGCUAGCGUUGUUCGGAAUCACUGGGCGUAAAGGGCGCGUAGGCGGCUUUAUAAGUCGGGGGUGAAAGCCUGUGGCUCAACCACAGAAUUGCCUUCGAUACUGUAGAGCUUGAGACCGGAAGAGGUUAGUGGAACUGCGAGUGUAGAGGUGAAAUUCGUAGAUAUUCGCAAGAACACCAGUGGCGAAGGCGGCUGACUGGUCCGGUUCUGACGCUGAGGCGCGAAAGCGUGGGGAGCAAACAGG